CCUACGGGUGGCAGCAGUGAGGAAUAUUGGGCAAUGGAGGCAACUCUGACCCAGCCAUGCCGCGUGCGUGAAGACGGUUUUCGGAUUGUAAAGCUCCUUCUGAUGUGACGAUGAUGACGGUAGCAUCUAAAGAAGCCCCGGCUCACUUCGUGCCAGCAGCCGCGGUAAUACGACGGGGGCAAGCGUUGUUCGGAAUUACUGGGCGUAAAGGGAGUGUAGGCGGUUUAGUAAGAUAGUGGUGAAAUCACAGGGCUUAAAUUUGGAAUUGCCAUUAUAACUAUUAGUCUAGAAUGACAGAGAGGAAAGUGGAAUACCCAGUGUAGAGGUGAAAUUCGUAGAUAUUGGGUAGAACACCAGUGGCGAAGGCGACUAUCUGGCUGUACAUUGACGCUGAGGCUCGAAAGCAUGGGGAUCAAACAGGAUUAGAUACACGAGUAGUC
rnacentral:rRNA from 1 species